rnacentral:rRNA from 1 species
UAAUUCUAGAGCUAAUACAUGCUGAAAACCCCAAAUUCGGGAGGGGUGUAUUUAUUAGAUAAAAAACCAACGCCCUUCGGGGCUUUUUGGUGAUUCAUGAUAACUUUACGGAUCGCAUGGCCUUGCGCCGGCGACGGUUCAUUCAAAUUUCUGCCCUAUCAACUUUCGAUGGUAAGGUAUUGGCUUACCAUGGUUUCAACGGGUAACGGGGAAUUAGGGUUCGAUUCCGGAGAGGGAGCCUGAGAAACGGCUACCACAUCCAAGGAAGGCAGCAGGCGCGCAAAUUACCCAAUCCCGACACGGGGAGGUAGUGACAAUAAAUACUGAUACAGGGCUCUUUUGGGUCUUGUAAUUGGAAUGAGUACAAUUUAAACCUCUUAACGAGGAACAAUUGGAGGGCAAGUCUGGUGCCAGCAGCCGCGGUAAUUCCAGCUCCAAUAGCGUAUAUUAAAGUUGUUGCAGUUAAAAAGCUCGUAGUUGAACCUUGGGCCUGGCUGGCAGGUCCGCCUCACCGCGUGUACUUGUCCGGCCGGGCCUUCCUUCUGGAGAACCUCAUGCCCUUCACUGGGCGUGUUGGGGACCAGGACUUUUACUUUGAAAAAAUUAGAGUGUUCAAAGCAGGCCUUUGCUCGAAUACGUUAGCAUGGAAUAAUAGAAUAGGACGUGCGGUCCUAUUUUGUUGGUUUCUAGGACCGCCGUAAUGAUUAAUAGGGACAGUCGGGGGCAUCAGUAUUCAAUUGUCAGAGGUGAAAUUCUUGGAUUUAUUGAAGACUAACUACUGCGAAAGCAUUUGCCAAGGAUGUUUUCAUUAAUCAGUGAACGAAAGUUAGGGGAUCGAAGACGAUCAGAUACCGUCGUAGUCUUAACCGUAAACUAUGCCGACUAGGGAUCGGGCGAUGUUCUUUUUCUGACUCGCUC